AUGGAAGGAGUCCUGGUGAGUGCCGCCACGGGGGUCCUGAAAUCCCUCCUCUGCAAGCUCGCCGCACUGCUGGAGGGGGAGUACAGGAUGCACAAGGGCCUGCGGCGCGACAUCGCCUUCCUCAAGGAUGAGCUGAGCAGCAUGAAUGCUCUCCUGGAGAAGCUGGCCGAGGCGGAGGCUCUCGACACGCAGCUCAGGGAGUGGAGGGACCAAGUGAGGGAGAUGGCCUAUGAGAUCGAGGAUUACAUCGACAGGUACAUGAAUCACCACGUCCACCGUGAUCCGGACAAGCCUAACGCCGUCAUGGAGCUCUUUUGGAAGGGCGUCUGCAAGGUGAAAAGCUUUGGAGCUCACCAUGAGAUGGCGGUGCAAAUCAAAGAACUCAAGUCCCGCAUCAUCGAGGCAAGUCAGCGCCGUGACAGGUACAGGCUUGACGCGAUGGUCUGUUCUGCGAGCUCCAAUGCUGCGCGCACCGACCCUCGGUUGCCUGCCCUCUUUGUGGAGGGAGCCAGCCUUGUUGGCAUUGAUGGUCCAAAGGAUGAGUUAAUUAAGUUGGUCACGGAUGAGGAGCUCGCACUGAAGGUUGUUUCUCUCAUAGGCUUUGGAGGGUCAGGGAAGACAACUCUUGCUAAUCAAGUAUACCAAAAAACUGGUAAACUGUUCAAUUGCCAAGCUUUUGUGUCGGUGUCGCAAAAUCCUGACAUAAGAAAGAUUUUGCGGUCCAUGCUCUCUCAAAUAAGAAAGGAAGACUCUCCCAUUUCUCGAUCGAGCGAUGAGGCGUGGCUCAUCAACUCAAUGAGAAAUUUCUUGAAGGACAAGAGGUAUCUUAUAGUAAUUGAUGAUAUAUGGAGUAUCCAAGUGUGGAAGACUAUCAAGUGUGCCUUGCUUGAAAAUUCCUGUGGUAGUAGAAUAAUAGUGACAACACGAAAUGUCAGUGUUGCCAAGUCAUGUUGCUUCCCUCGCCUUGACCUUGCAUAUGAAUUAAGGCCUCUGACUGAAGCUGAUUCGAAAAUCUUGUUCUUUACAAGAGUUUUUGGCUCUGUGGAAAAAUGCCCACUUCACCUGAAUGAAAUUUCAACUGAGAUCAUAAAAAAGUGUGGUGGUUUACCAUUAGCAAUCAUCACAAUUGGUAGUUUGUUGACCACAAAAUCCGAUAGCAGAGAAGACUGGAUCAGGGUUCGAAAUUCGAUUGGUCGAGGACUUGAGAAAAACCCUCAUGUGGAGGAAAUGGAAAGGAUUUUAUCACUUAGCUAUAAUGAUCUUACUCUCCAACUGAAGACCUGCCUGCUGUAUUUAAGUAUGUAUCCGGAAGAUUAUGAGGUCCAAAUGGAAGAUUUGGUGAGGAGGUGGAUAGCAGAAAGAUUUGUUAAGGUUGUUGGUGGGAAAAAUUUAUUUGACACAGGAAAAGAUUAUUUCUAUGAACUGAUAAACAGAAACAUGAUACAACCAACAUAUAUCAACUAUGAUGGUCAAGCAAUGGCAUGCCGUGUGCAUGAUAUGAUCCGUGAUCUCAUUAUAUCCAAGGCAGUGGAAGAAAAUUUUAUCACUUCUAGUGGUCAUCAAACACAUAGCCUGGUUUCACAGCAUAAAGUUCGCCGACUCUCGAUUGACUACCGUGGCCUAGAAAAUGUGAAGACAGUGUCAUCCAUGGUCACUGCUCAUGUUCAAACCCUUGGCGUCUUUGGAUGUACUGAUCAAGUACCUCCCCUUUCGGAAUUUCCGGCCCUGAGAAUGCUUGCUCUAGACAGGAGUGAGGAGUUGGAAAUUGGUUAUCUUAAAAAUAUAACAAAGUUGUGUCUGUUGAGGUACCUGCGGAUUGAAGGAAGCUGCAUUACAGAACUCCCUGAACAGAUCGGAGAUCUACAGUGUUUGGAGAUGCUGGAUUUAAAUGGUACUGGUAUAAGGGAAUUGCCAGCAAGUAUUGUUCAGCUGCUGCAACUGAAACUGCUACUUGUUGAUGGCGCAAAACUACCACAUGGCAUUGGGAACAUGCAAGGCCUAGAGGAACUGUCAUGCGUAACUGUGGACGACAGUACCUCAAUCAAUCUCUUGCAGGAGUUGGGAAGUUUGACUAGAAUGAGAAUUCUUGGCCUGAAGUUGUGCAUGAGCGCACAUAAGACAAGCACAAGUUAUGUGGAUAGAUUGGUUUCAUCGCUUGGCAAACUUGGGAGCUCUCAGCUUGAGCGUCUGUUCGUCAAAACGGAUGGCCGUUUGAUUGACAUUCCAGUUGGUUCUUGGUCGCCGCCUCCCCGUCUCCUGCAGGAGCUAAUCACCUCUGAUUUGUGUCUCUGUCAGAUACCUGAUUGGAUGGCCUCAAUGGCCAGCCUCACCUGCCUUCAAAUCGGCGUUAAUCAAGUGACGCAGGAGACCCUUCUCGUGCUUGGUGGUUUGCCUGUCUUGUUAUCUCUGACGCUGAACUCCUCACAAAAUGCUGAACCCAAACAAAGGCUCGUGGUCAGCAACAACAUGUUCCGAUGCCUGAAGCGGUUCCUCCUCUAUUGUGAGGUGGGUCUUCUGACGUUUGAAGCCGGAGCCAUGCCAAAACUCAAAGCGCUCGAAUUUCAGAUUGUGGCGCUCGAAGCGAAAUCUGCGUGCAUCGCUCCCGACCUUGGCAUCAGCAACCUCUGUGCCCUUAGUGAUCUCUGCAUCUGGAUUGACUGCCAGGGUGAAAAGGCCGAGGAGGGGGUUCACGAGCUGGAGUCUGCAAUCAGGGUUGCGGCCAGCCUACUUCCCAACCGUCCUACACCGUAUUUCCAUAGGUUGUAUUGA
rnacentral:rRNA from 1 species